GCCCAGACUCCUACGGGAGGCAGCAGUGGGGAAUAUUGCACAAUGGGGGGAACCCUGAUGCAGCGACGCCGCGUGAGUGAAGAAGUCUUUCGGUAUGUAAAGCUCUAUCAGCAGGGAAGAAGAUGACGGUACCUGACUAAGAAGCCCCGGCUAACUACGUGCCAGCAGCCGCGGUAAUACGUAGGGGGCAAGCGUUAUCCGGAUUUACUGGGUGUAAAGGGAGCGUAGACGGCAGGGCAAGUCUGGAGUGAAAGCCCGGGGCUCAACCCCGGGACUGCUUUGGAAACUGUGUUGCUGGAGUGCUGGAGAGGCAAGCGGAAUUUCUAGUGUAGCGGUGAAAUGCGUAGAUAUUAGGAAGAACACCAGUGGCGAAGGCGGCUUGCUGGACAGUAACUGACGUUGAGGCUCGAAAGCGUGGGGAGCAAACAGGAUUAGAUACCCGUGUA
rnacentral:rRNA from 1 species